CUGGCACACCUGAACCUCUCAGCCCAAAGGCUGAGUGUGAAAAAUUCUGCUGAACAACUGAACUGUUCCUCAAGGUUUUUGCAAAAGCUUCGUGCACCAAGGAGCUGCACAACAAACCCUGUUAGCUAAUGGUCCUAGACAGACGAAAUCCAACCCUUAAGGAUUUGUGAAUGAAGAAUCUUGCACAAACACGAUAUCUUUUUGGCUCCUACAGAGCAGGUAGAAUUACCUGGUCUUCCAGCAAGACCUUCCAAAGAACCAGGGAGAACAAGGACAGGUGAAAGAUGAUUUCCUACAGUGGGAUACCUUACUUGGGGAAGAAGGGAUCAGUUACCUUCUUCUCAUAUCAGUUGCAAAGUGAGUUAGCUCAACAUGAAUGGCAACCAAUCUGAUUGCAUAUCCCUCCAAAUCUGGAUUCUGAUUGAAAGGUACAUCAAGCUGUUUCUGACCUCACUCAGCACAGCUCUGCCCAGACCUGAGGUCAGUGCUUACCAGCCAGGGCCUUGAUGCGGGAGCGCUCGAAGAGCCGAGCAGAGCUGUUCUCGUUG